GUCAUGCAGUCGAACGAGAAAGCGUUCUUCGGAACGUGAGUACAGUGGCGGACGGGUGAGUAACACGUGGGGAACCUGCCCUCAAGCUGGGAACAACCCGCCUAACGGCGGGCUAAUACCGAAUGUGGUUGUCAGUCCGCAUGGUAUGACAACUAAAGGUGGCCUCUCCUUGGAAGCUACCGCUUGUGGAUGGCCCCGCGCUCAAUUAGCUAGUUGGUAGGGUAACGGCCUACCAAGGCGACGAUUGAUAGCCGACCUGAGAGGGUGAUCGGCCACACUGGGAUUGAGAUAAGGCCCAGUCUCCUACGGGAGCCAGCAGUCUAGAAAUUUGGGCAAUGAGCGAAAGCCUGACCCAGCGACGCCGCGUGGGGGAUGAAGCUUCUCGGAGUGUAAACCCCUGUUAGGUGGGACGAAAGCCCGUAUACGAAUAGUAGGCGGGUUUGACGGUACCACCAGAGGAAGCUCCGGCUAACUCCGUGCCAGCAGCCGCGGUAAUACGGGGGGAGCAAGCGUUGUUCGGAGUUAUUGGGCGUAAAGGGCGUACAGGCGGUGGUGUCAGUCAGAUGUGAAAUCCCCCGGCUCAACCGGGGACCUGCAUUUGAUACUGCAUCACUUGAGUACAGGAGAGGAGAGCGGAAUUUUCGGUGUAGCGGUGGAAUGUGUAGAUAUCGAAAAGAACACCAGUGGCGAAGGCGGCUCUCUGGCCUGAUACUGACGCUGACGCGCGAAAGCUAGGGGAGCAAACAGGAUUAGAUACCCUGGUAGUCCUAGCCGUAAACGUUGGGCACUAGUGUUGGAGGUAUCGACCCCUUCAGUGCCGAAGCUAACGCAUUAAGUGCCCCGCCUGGGGAGUACGGCCGCAAGGCUGAA
rnacentral:rRNA from 1 species